GCGACGAAGAAGUGGAGAACACUCCAGAACUCAUCCAAUAACUAGUACUACUCUCAGACCCGUUAGCUAAAUCACCAUCAAAGUACUCUUGCUUCUUAAUCAGAUUGUUCCCAAUAUGCGAAAUUACACAAGCACUUGAUCAUUAAUAAAACUUGCAAAGAGAAGUUUAUCCUUUCUCUUUGUGCAUGUCAAACCCAUAAGGGAUAUGUUCAGCCUAUCUCUAUGUCAGAGCUCAAUGAUUCAAAACUGGAGAUUUUUGUCUAUUAUUUGUCAGGCUAAAAAAAAAAAAAAAGCAUAGGACUAACCCCUAGAUAAGAAAUCUAGUAACAAGAAACUCUAAAAUGAUGGCUUAGAAACUCCCAAUCCUCCUCUGCAUAUUUGCCACUAGUAUGUCAUAAAUCAGAUAGAGCAUGGAGGUGAUGCUUUUGAAUAUCCUUUAUUUAUUUUUAACUAUUUUAGUUCUCUCUCACGCUCAACUUAGCGAAUUUAUAUUUUUAAUGUUUUAUUGGUUGCGUAUGAUGUCUUGAAUUUUUUUACAAGCCUAGGAGCCCUGGGAAACUAUCCUGGUUCUCCCUUUUUGCCUUCUGAUUAAGAUAUUUUACUUGAUUCACCUGAGCAAGAGGAUAUAGCCAUGUAAGCAAAGAAGGCUUUAUCUGGGAGAGUUAAAUCAAGUCAUGGCGCACAAAGAAAAAAGAAAAGUAAAAUACUGUCACCUUUGAGAAGGGCAGAACGUGAGAUAAGCUUGUAUUUCUAAGUUUUUGCUUAAAUGAUGUUUGAGAUUCGUGUUAUACUUUUAGAUCCUUCAUGCUCUGGAUCGGGGACUGCUACAGAGAGACUGGAUCAUCUCUUCCCAUCUUAUAGCACAGGUAAGUAUUAGUCUCUUUGUCUUUUGAGGUUCACAUCUUCAUCUUUCUGAUCUCAUUCCUUUUAACCUCUUACUCUUCUAUUUCCGAUUAAGUUGUUGCUGGCUUCCACUCAUUUAUUUGUU